rnacentral:tRNA from 1 species
GGCCCGUGGUCUAGACUGGUUAUGACGCCGCCCUCACAAGGCGGAGGUCCGGGGUUCGAAUCCCCGCGGGCCCACCAA